CCAGCAGGUGCGGUAAUUCCAGCUCCAAUAGCGUAUAUUAAAGUUGUUGCGGUUAAAAAGCUCGUAGUUGGAUUUCUGCCGAGGACGACCGGCCCGCCCACUGGGUGUGCAUCUGGCUCGGCCUGGGCAUCUUCUUGGAGAACGUAUCUGCACUUCACUGUGUGGUGCGGUAUCCAGGACUUUUACUUUGAGGAAAUUAGAGUGUUUCAAGCAGGCACACGCCUUGAAUACGUUAGCAUGGAAUAAUAAGAUAGGACCUUGGUUCUAUUUUGUUGGUUUCUAGAACUGAGGUAAUGAUUAAUAGGGACAGUUGGGGCCGUUUAUAUUUCGUUGUCAGAGGUGAAAUUCUUGGAUUUACGAAAGAUAAACUUCUGCGAAAGCAUUCGGCAAGGAUGUUUUCAUUGAUCAAGAACGAAAGU
rnacentral:rRNA from 1 species